rnacentral:lncRNA from 1 species
ACCAUAUUUAAAUACAAUGAAAUGCAAACCAAAAGAAAAUAUGCUUCUAUAUCUCUCAAGCUAUACUAGCCUCUGUUAAACCAAUCCUCCAUCAUCUUCUCAUAUUUACCUCCUACCCUCCUUCUCAAAGAAGAUAUUCUGUUUCUAAUGAGCUUAUCAAGCCUUGCAAUCAGACAGGUAGCUGGCUGCGAUGCCUCACCCACUCUUCUCACAUUCCUCUCAUGCCAUAACGCAUAAGCCACGGCCUGAAAGCAAUAACGCAGUAACACAGUCGAACUCCACUUAUGUAAACCCUUCUCAACAAUCCGAAGCACUCUAUCCCAUUUAUACACUUCUCCACGCCCUGCCAAAUGUUUUAUGGUUCCAAUCCAGACUUCCUUAGAGAACGAGCACUCGAAAAAUAGGUGAUCACGAGUCUCAGCUUCCGUGUUACACAACCAGCAUGUAGAAACGGCUUGUGGAUUCCACCUAAGAAUCCUAUCUCCUGUUGCUAGUCUGUCAUGAAUAGCAAGCCAAACUAAGAAAGAAAAUCGCGGGGUAGCUUCAGUGAACCACACUCCUUUUACCCAAGAUACCUUUGGAGAUGAACUUCUUACAAGAUUCCAAGUAUGAGAUGUUCUGAAAUCUGUUUUAAAAUCCCCAUUCUCCCUCUUCCAAAGGCAUAUAUCAUCUAGCUGGUUGAGAC